UGAGGAAUAUUGGUCAAUGGGCGAGAGCCUGAACCAGCCAAGUAGCGUGCAGGACGACGGCCCUAUGGGUUGUAAACUGCUUUUAUAAGGGAAUAAAGUGGGUCACGUGUGACUUUUUGCAUGUACCUUAUGAAUAAGGACCGGCUAAUUCCGUGCCAGCAGCCGCGGUAAUACGGAAGGUCCGGGCGUUAUCCGGAUUUAUUGGGUUUAAAGGGAGCGUAGGCCGGAGAUUAAGCGUGUUGUGAAAUGUAGUGGCUCAACCUCUGCACUGCAGCGCGAACUGGUCUUCUUGAGUACGCACAACGUGGGCGGAAUUCGUGGUGUAGCGGUGAAAUGCUUAGAUAUCACGAAGAACUCCGAUUGCGAAGGCAGCUCACGGGAGCGCAACUGACGCUGAAGCUCGAAAGUGCGGGUAUCGAACA
rnacentral:rRNA from 1 species